ACGUGCACUCCUACGGGAGGCAGCAGUGGGGAAUUUUGGACAAUGGGCGAAAGCCUGAUCCAGCAAUGCCGCGUGUGUGAAGAAGGCCUUCGGGUUGUAAAGCACUUUUGUCCGGAAAGAAAUCCUUGGCUCUAAUACAGUCGGGGGAUGACGGUACCGGAAGAAUAAGCACCGGCUAACUACGUGCCAGCAGCCGCGGUAAUACGUAGGGUGCGAGCGUUAAUCGGAAUUACUGGGCGUAAAGCGUGCGCAGGCGGUUUGCUAAGACCGAUGUGAAAUCCCCGGGCUCAACCUGGGAACGGCAUUGGUGACUGGCAGGCUAGAGUAUGGCAGAGGGGGGUAGAAUUCCACGUGUAGCAGUGAAAUGCGUAGAGAUGUGGAGGAAUACCGAUGGCGAAGGCAGCCCCCUGGGCCAAUACUGACGCUCAUGCACGAAAGCGUGGGGAGCAAACAGGAUUAGAAACCCCGGUAGUCCCA
rnacentral:rRNA from 1 species